AUGGCUAAGGAGCUGGACGAACUUCUGGAUGAAGUUGAGACCAAGUUCUGCAGACUCUACGCCCUGAGGCUGGACCUUGGUGAGCAGCCCAAAGGCGGCAGCAUCAGUGGCUCGCACAGUGACGACCAGAACAGAGCCCAGGAGAAAGAGACUCUCAGAUCAACAGAAAUGUUUUAAAAAGAAGAUGAUCUUGACAGUCUUAUUAAUGAAAUAUUCGAGGAGCUUAACUUUGACAAAAAAAUCUUUAAAAAAUUUAAAUCUAAAUCUUCAAGUAACAUAUCUGUCAGAGCUCCCAUACAAGGCAUCCGUAAAAGUUGCAGUCCAGUAUAUCUCAGUGGAAGCGACAUUCCAUGUGGUGUUGGAACAAAUACUUCACAGAGAGCAUGUGACAGACUCCGUUGUGUAGCCUGUGAUUUCUGGAUAGUGAGCUACAAUGAUUAUAUGUGGGACAAGUCAUGUGAGACUACCUGUUCUUCAGAAACAACAUGCCAGAAUUCCACAAACUCAAAACAAAAUUGAUGGAGAAGAAAGGAGCGUGGGUGUAUGCCUGCCAGUGUAGCUGGAGAACUGUUGAAGAACCCACUGACCUGCAGACAGAUCAUCAGCUUCACUGGGUAUGUGGUAAACACUGAGAGUGUGGACAGCUGCACCUGUGAGAACAAGUUCCAGGUAUCAACUUGGGUACCAGUGCACAGCAGUAUUGUGCCCGCUGGGAAAAGGCAACAAAUGUUGUGAAACCACACAUGUCUGAAGACCAAAUGGACUGGAAAAGACAUAUGUACUGUGACACCUUGGCAUUCUUCCUUUCGACAUGGACAUUUUGCUUAGUAGGUUAAAGUAUCUGCGUUUGCCACCCUCUCUCCAUUUAGGGGUUGAAAUUGUGACAUUUCGUGCAAAUUUACAGCUUUUCCAUAGCAACUGACAUACUGACUGCUAAUGCACUCUAAAAUGUUCCUCAUGUAUCAUUGUUGUUAAAGAAUACUCACUGGCAUGGCAAAGAGGUCAUUGUAUGAGUGUUCAUGGCUCUUCCUAUUCUGAUCCAUCAUUGUCCGAGACUAUAAGUUGAACAUGACAAAAAAAGCAGAUGACCCUUGGUUAACUGAGGGGUUGUCAAGAGUACAGGAACAUUGUAACCCUGCCUUAUAUGUAUCUCAUCUUGCCUCACCAACUCAAUUCAGUGUUAUGAAUAAUAGUAAUAGUAAUAAUGAUGUUACCAGUUUUACCCUCCUUUGCUCAUUGAAAUAUCAAAAGUUGUUUAGUUUUCUAUUAGCAAGCAUCAAUUUAUAUAUAUGAUUUUGAUGCAACUAAAGUUACUAAAAUCCUACAAAUAAGUUAUUGUUGAACUUUUCAAGUAUACACCAUAACUCUAAGUGAGCAGCAUUAAGAUGAUUUUCAGACAGCCUGUGGACUUUCUAAUAGUAUCAGGUUGGCCCAUUCUUUAUUGAAGCAUAGAGAACCAAUGGGUAGCUGUUGGGCUCCCGUGAUAUCACUGAGAUGGGAAGAACUGUAUCAUACAUACUAACAUGUUCAAGAAAUGCACUGCCUCAGGUUUACCUACCAGUCCCAUAGACAUUUCAGGGCUUUUCUAGUCUGCUAGAAUUCUAUUUUGUGUGUCCCCUUCCUGUGUGUGUAUUACUUAAGUGUGUGGCACUGGGCACUCUGCAAGGAUGAACAUUUUAGCCCAGAUAAUGAUCUGCUUGCUUUUCAGUUAACUCCAUUCUUGCCACCAAGCAAAUCCUCUGAUUGCUGGAAGCUCUUUCCUAGGCUAGGGUCUAGCUUGGCAAUAGAGUGCUUGCAUUGCAUGUGCAAGACCCCAAACUUAGUCCCAGUAGUGCAAAAGAAAAAAGAAAGACUGAGGGGCAAGCUUUUCCCCACCAUGACACAUUUAUGUACUUUAAAAACGUUAAAUGCAGCAAAAGAAAUCUCAGUGGCUGAUGCUCAAACUCUUGUAUUAAGAUUAUUUACAAAUUUUAUCUUUUAAUAAACCAAUU